AACGAACGCUGGCGGCAGGCCUAACACAUGCAAGUCGAACGCUCCAGCAAUGGAGAGUGGCAGACGGGUGAGUAACGCGUGGGAACCUACCCUUUGGUUCGGAAUAGCCCAGGGAAACUUGGGGUAAUACCGGAUAAGCCCUUCGGGGGAAAGAUUUAUCGCCAAUGGAUGGGCCCGCGUCGGAUUAGCUAGUUGGUGGGGUAACGGCCUACCAAGGCGACGAUCCGUAGCUGGUCUGAGAGGAUGAUCAGCCACACUGGGACUGAGACACGGCCCAGACUCCUACGGGAGGCAGCAGUGGGGAAUAUUGGACAAUGGGCGCAAGCCUGAUCCAACCAUGCCGCGUGAGUGACGAAGGUCUUCGGAUUGUAAAGCUCUUUUGGCGGGGAAGAUAAUGACGGUACCCGCAGAAUAAGCCCCGGCUAACUUCGUGCCAGCAGCCGCCUAAAAC
rnacentral:rRNA from 1 species